rnacentral:rRNA from 1 species
GCUAAACGCGAAGAACCUUACCUGGGCUUGACAUGUAUCUGACCGCCAUAGAGAUAUGGCUUCCCUUCGGGGCAGAUUCACAGGUGGUGCAUGGCUGUCGUCAGCUCGUGUCGUGAGGUGUUGGGUUAAGUCCCGCAACGAGCGCAACCCCUACUAUUAGUUGCCACCAGGUUAUGCUGAGCACUCUAAUAGGACUGCCUACGCAAGUAGUGAGGAAGGUGGGGAUGACGUCAAGUCCGCAUGGCCCUUACGCCUAGGGCUACACACGUGCUACAAUGGGUGUUACAAUGGGUUGCUAAGCCGCAAGGUGGAGCCAAUCCUUUAAAAGCAUCCUCAGUUCGGAUUGGAAUCUGAAACUCGACUCUAUGAAGUUGGAAUUGCUAGUAAUCGUGGAUCAGCACGCCACGGUGAAUACGUUCCCGGGUCUUGUACACACCG